AUGAACGCUAGCUACAGGCUUAACACAUGCAAGUCGAGGGGCAUCAGGAAGAAAGCUUGCUUUCUUUGCUGGCGACCGGCGCACGGGUGAGUAACACGUAUCCAACCUGCCCUUUACUCGGGGAUAGCCUUUCGAAAGAAAGAUUAAUACCCGAUAGUAUAAUGAUUCCGCAUGGUUUCAUUAUUAAAGGAUUCCGGUAAAGGAUGGGGAUGCGUUCCAUUAGGUUGUUGGUGAGGUAACGGCCCACCAAGCCUUCGAUGGAUAGGGGUUCUGAGAGGAAGGUCCCCCACAUUGGAACUGAGACACGGUCCAAACUCCUACGGGAGGCAGCAGUGAGGAAUAUUGGUCAAUGGGCGCUAGCCUGAACCAGCCAAGUAGCGUGAAGGAUGAAGGCUCUAUGGGUCGUAAACUUCUUUUAUAUAAGAAUAAAGUGCAGUAUGUAUACUGUUUUGUAUGUAUUAUAUGAAUAAGGAUCGGCUAACUCCGUGCCAGCAGCCGCGGUAAUACGGAGGAUCCGAGCGUUAUCCGGAUUUAUUGGGUUUAGAGGGAGCGUAGGUGGACUGGUAAGUCAGUUGUGAAAGUUUGCGGCUCAACCGUAAAAUUGCAGUUGAUACUGUCAGUCUUGAGUACAGUAGAGGUGGGCGGAAUUCGUGGUGUAGCGGUGAAAUGCUUAGAUAUCACGAAGAACUCCGAUUGCGAAGGCAGCUCACUGGACUGCAACUGACACUGAUGCUCGAAAGUGUGGGUAUCAAACAGGAUUAGAUACCCUGGUAGUCCACACAGUAAACGAUGAAUACUCGCUGUUUGCGAUAUACAGUAAGCGGCCAAGCGAAAGCAUUAAGUAUUCCACCUGGGGAGUACGCCGGCAACGGUGAAACUCAAAGGAAUUGACGGGGGCCCGCACAAGCGGAGGAACAUGUGGUUUAAUUCGAUGAUACGCGAGGAACCUUACCCGGGCUUAAAUUGCAGUGGAAUGAUGUGGAAACAUGUCAGUGAGCAAUCACCGCUGUGAAGGUGCUGCAUGGUUGUCGUCAGCUCGUGCCGUGAGGUGUCGGCUUAAGUGCCAUAACGAGCGCAACCCUUAUCUUUAGUUACUAACAGGUUAUGCUGAGGACUCUAGAGAGACUGCCGUCGUAAGAUGUGAGGAAGGUGGGGAUGACGUCAAAUCAGCACGGCCCUUACGUCCGGGGCUACACACGUGUUACAAUGGGGGGUACAGAAGGCAGCUAGCGGGUGACCGUAUGCUAAUCCCAAAAGCCUCUCUCAGUUCGGAUCGAAGUCUGCAACCCGACUUCGUGAAGCUGGAUUCGCUAGUAAUCGCGCAUCAGCCACGGCGCGGUGAAUACGUUCCCGGGCCUUGUACACACCGCCCGUCAAGCCAUGGGAGCCGGGGGUACCUGAAGUACGUAACCGCAAGGAUCGUCCUAGGGUAAAACUGGUGACUGGGGCUA
rnacentral:rRNA from 1 species